rnacentral:rRNA from 1 species
UACGGGGGGAGCAAGCGUUGUUCGGAUUUACUGGGCGUAAAGGGCGCGUAGGCGGCGCAACAAGUCACUUGUGAAAUCUCCGGGCUUAACCCGGAGCGGCCAAGUGAUACUGUCGUGCUAGAGUGCGGAAGGGGCUACUGGAAUUCUCGGUGUAGCGGUGAAAUGCGUAGAUAUCGAGAGGAACACCUGCGGCGAAGGCGGGUAGCUGGGCCGACACUGGCGCUGAGGCGCGAAAGCCAGGGGAGCGAACGGG